rnacentral:rRNA from 1 species
GGCUCACCUAGGUCGACGAUCUCUAGCUGGUCUGAGAGGAUGUCAGCCACACUGGUGACUGAGACCGGCCCAGAUCCUACGGGAGGCAGCAGUGGGGAAUAUUGCACAAUGGGCGCAAGCCUGAUGCAGCCAUGCCGCGUGUAUGAAGAAGGCCUUAGGGUUGUAAAGUACUUUCAGCGGGGAGGAAGGUGAUAAGGUUAAUACCCUUGUCAAUUGACGUUACCCGCAGAAAAGCACCGGCUAACUCCGUGCCAGCAGCCGCGGUAAUACGGAGGGUGCAGCGUUAAUCGAUUACUGGGCGUAAAGCGCACGCAGGCGGUCAAUUAAGUCAGAUGUGAAAGCCCCGAGCUUAACUUGGGAAUUGCAUCUGAAACUGGUUGGCUAGAGUCUUGUAGAGGGGGGUAGAAUUCCAUGUGUAGCGGUGAAAUGCGUAAGAUGUGGAGGAAUACCGGUGGCGAAGGCGGCCCCCUGGACAAAGACUGACGCUCAGGUGCGAAAGCGUGGGAGCAAACAGGAUUAGAUACCCUGGUAGUCCACGCUGUAAACGAUGUCGAUUUAGAGGUUGUGGUCUUGAACCGUGGCUUCUGGACUAACGCGUAAAUCACCGCCUGGGAUACGGCCGCAGGUUAAAACUCAAAUGAAUUGACGGGGGCCCCCCAAGCGGUGGAGCAUGGGUUUAAUUUCAUGCAACGCGAAGAACCUUACCUAUCUUGCAUCCAGCGAAUCCUUUAGAGAUAGAGGAGUGCCUUCGGGAACGCUGAGACAGGUGCUGCAUGGCUGUCGUCAGCUCGUGUUGUGAAAUGUUGGGUUAAGUCCCGCAACGAGCGCAACCCUUAUCCUUUGUUGCCAGCACGUAAUGGUGGGAACUCAAAGGAGACUGCCGGUGAUAAACCGGAGGAAGGUGGGGAUGACGUC